rnacentral:rRNA from 1 species
UAAACAACCUGCCUUAAGGAUGGGGAUAACAGACGGAAACGACUGCUAAUACCGAAUACGUUCUAAGCAUCGCAUGAUGCAUAGAAGAAAGGGUGGCCUCUACAAGAAAGCUAUCGCCUUAAGAGGGGUUUGCGACUGAUUAGGUAGUUGGUGAGGUAACGGCUCACCAAGCCGACGAUCAGUAGCCGACCUGAGAGGGUGACCGGCCACAUUGGGACUGAGACACGGCCCAA